GCUGCUGCACUGAUAUUGCUGGGUGGUUUCACUCUUCUGCUCUCUGCCAGAUAGCUUCAUACUGAGGCCAUGAUGUUCUUUUGACAGCAGCUCAAGUCUCUGUGUCUGGGGGUGUGUGCCAGUGGAAUGCAUUUGCAAUAGUUCAGAGGUCUGCAGGUUUCCUGUAAAAUGCUUUGGGACCCUGUGGAAGCCUGCCUGGAGCUGAAUGGCCAAUGCCAAGAGCUUAACAUCAGAUAGUGGGUUACUACUGAGGAGCACCUCUCCUGUGGCAGCCUCACCAGCACCCUUCCUGAGAGGGAGCAGGCAAGCAGCCUUCACUGACUUGCUGGCUCCCAACUGAUGGAUCAACAUUAAAUACUAGACUAUAAGUGGAGUGAAGCCAGAAUCAAAAUGACUAAGUGCAAACUUGUUCUGUUAAGGCAUGGGGAAGGAGCCUGGAACAAAGAGAACCGCUUUUGCAGCUGGGUGGAUCAGAAGCUGAGCAGCGAUGGGAUAAAGGAAGCUCGGAACUGUGGGAAACACCUCAAAGCACUAGGUUUUCAGUUUGACCAUGUGUUUACAUCCAUCCUAAGCCGUUCUAUUCAGACUGCUUGGCUGGUGUUAGAAGAGAUGGGGCAAGAAUGGGUUCCCACCCAAAGCUCAUGGCGUCUGAACGAACGCCACUACGGUGCACUGAUAGGUCUCAACAGAGCCGAAAUGGCUCUGAACCAUGGUGAAGAGCAAGUGAAAAUAUGGAGAAGAAGCUAUGAUGUUACUCCACCUCCCAUAACUGAAUCUCAUCCUUACUACAAAGAGAUCUAUAAUGAUCGCAGAUAUAAAUGCUGUGAUGUGUCACAGGACAAACUCCCAAAGGCUGAAAGCUUAAAAGAAGUUCUGGAGAGACUCCUUCCCUAUUGGAAUGAAAAGAUAGCACCAGAACUGAAAAGCGGCAAAAUGGUCCUCGUAUCUGCUCAUGGAAACAGCACUAGGGCACUGCUCAAGCAUCUGGAAGACAUCUCUGACGAGGAUAUUGUUAAUGUUACCCUCCCAACUGGUGUGCCUGUGCUUCUUGAACUCGAUGAGAAUCUGCGUCCUCUUAGCCGUCACCAGUUUCUAGGUGAUCAAGAAGCUAUCCAAGCUGCCAUCAGAAAAGUGGAAGAUCAAGGGAAAGUCAAACCUGUUGAGAAGAAAUAAUGCUUCCGGAUGCUGCCCCCACUCCCUUGUGUGUGUGGUAAUAAGUAGUGCUUUGCACUCUUGUCAGGAAAUUCCACUUUAUGAGGCCUUACUCUCAUUUCUCUUGCACUGGUGUAAAACUGCUGUAGUUUAAAUCUGAAUCCAUCCCAGUAAUUGAACUCUUUCAGUGGUCCCAAUUCUGCCCUCUGAUGCACAGAGCUCCCACUGAUUUCAAUGGAAAUUGCAUGUGCCUAUCUGAAGGCAGAAUUUGGCCCUUUGUAUGUUCAGUGCAGCCAGGCUGUGACUGCUGAGGGAACAACUAUGAAUUCCCUGAGUGCAAUGCCUGUAAAAAUCUCACAUAGAGCUGUUUGCAGUGAGUGGCUUGUUUGUUUGGAUUUUUAUAGGUUCAAGAAAACGAUUGCCCCCUGGCGAGUUGAGCAGCCUUGCACUUCUGUAGCACUCUGACUUUCAGAGUGUAGUAGUAGCUUACACUAACACAAGCUGAUCGUAACAGACAUAUUGCUGGGUAUCUUUCCUUGACAUGAAUGGUAUUUGGACACUUGGGAUUUUUGGUUAUGUUGCACUAGCAAAAGGGGGCUGGUGGCAGUCUCUCCUGGUGUUUUUUCUUUUCUUUUUUUUUAAGGUAAAGUUUCUCUUUCUAAAAUACAAAGUCAUAGUUUAUUUUAAUCCUCAAAUGUAUUGUGCACUAGAUGAUAACCUCUUUGCAAUCACCUAUACUUGUGACAUUGAAGCAACCUACAGCCUGGUAUAUGGGGUUUUUUUUGUAUAUAUUCAUCUGUAUAUGGUGUUUGAGUCAAAAAUGAUCUCCUCCUCCACAGUAGCAUCAGUACGUUGGCUGCCGAUCAGUGAACGUUCACUUUCCAGAGCCAUACUGAAGAGCCCCAUCACUAACAUGGCUUUCUCUUUGGUGUGACAGCUGACGCUAGCACUGGUGAAGAUGUUCAUGAACAGCACUACUGCAGACUUCAGCAGGAGUGGAGUCCCUCAUCUGUGUGGUUUGAGAUGUUCUUAGAUGCCUGAAUGUGGUGGGGGAGGAGAGUGAAAAGAAAUAUAGGAAAUCUAGUAUUUUUUAUAGAGUAUAAUUAGUAUAGUUUUGCAACUAAGGCUACCAGCACCACAUGCUGUUCUCCGCUAUAUACACGUAACUCCCAUUGACCACACUGGGAUUCAUGGAUGUGUAGCUGAGGCCAGCGCAUGGUUUUCAGCUGGUUACCAUACUGCAAUGCCAAAGCAGUGCAACAUAGGAAUUUUUUGGAACUUGAGAUGCUGCAGAUACAGUGUAAUGCUUAAAUGCUGAUAAAUAAGCCAAACUGCACAGGCAUUUCACAUAACGCACAGGCAGGGCUAGAUAGCCGUGUCUCGUGCUCUCCCGCAGAAGGGAAAGGAGCACUGAUCUUAAGAACACCUGACCUUUAAGUAGAUGGGUUGGAGGGAAAGUGCUGAGUAAAUGUUCAGAAGCCCUAGGUUCAGCAGCCAGUCGAGUGGGGCAAAUCAAAAAUAGUUUCAAAUGGAACUGGUUUUUUGCAAUUCUCUUAACUCAUGUGGCAGUGGGAGUGCAGCAGGAAGUUGGACUGCAGUUGUUUGGGCUGAGACUCUAUUUGAUGACAAAGCAGCUCACCAAGGUUCAAUACCCAUGCUCUUCAGCAUUGCCAGUGCAGGGAGCAACAGACUGAGACCUUCAUCUUCUCCUGGGGGCUAUAAAAUGCCCCUCAAUAGGGAUCAGAAUUGGAGGCCCAAGCCAGGAGUUCCAGUGCUGGUAAGUGGUCAGGUCUCUUGGCAUCCCUUGUAACUAUAUUAUUGACACACAAUGGGAAGGGGAGGUGUACUUGAGGACAGAAGCCAGCAUUUAUGGGGAAGGGGGCCUGAUCUACAGGCUCUCUUAUCUUACAGCAAAGAGAUGGAUGAGAAGCAGGCCAGUGACCCUUCUCAAUCCAUGAUUAGAAGAUGCUCAGAGCUCCAGAAAUAAUACAGCAUUUCCACAGCUGGUGACAUAGGCAUGGUUGGUUUGCUUAUGUGUUUGAAAUAUGUGGUUUGUUGUGUGAUCCUGUUUGAGAACACUUGUAAAUAUUUACUUGUAGAGCUGGCAAGUUCUUUAAAAUUCAAUAAACCACCUGAAAUGCAA